AUUGAACGCUGGCGGAAUGCUUUACACAUGCAAGUCGAACGGCAGCACGGACUUCGGUCUGGUGGCGAGUGGCGAACGGGUGAGUAAUACAUCGGAACGUGCCCAGUCGUGGGGGAUAACGUAGCGAAAGCUACGCUAAUACCGCAUACGAUCUACGGAUGAAAGCGGGGGAUCGCAAGACCUCGCGCGAUUGGAGCGGCCGAUGGCAGAUUAGGUAGUUGGUGGGGUAAAGGCUCACCAAGCCGACGAUCUGUAGCUGGUCUGGGAGGACGACCAGCCACACUGGGACUGAGACACGGCCCAGACUCCUACGGGAGGCAGCAGUGGGGAAUUUUGGACAAUGGGCGCAAGCCUGAUCCAGCCAUUCCGCGUGCAGGAUGAAGGCCCUCGGGUUGUAAACUGCUUUUGUACGGAACGAAAAGGCUCUGGUUAAUACCCGGGGCUCAUGACGGUACCGUAAGAAUAAGCACCGGCUAACUACGUGCCAGCAGCCGCUGUAA
rnacentral:rRNA from 1 species